rnacentral:rRNA from 1 species
GACGAGGGGGUCCAAGCGUUGUCCGGAAUUAUUGGGCGUAAAGAGCUCGUAGGCGGCCUGUUACGUCUGCUGUGAAAUCCCGGGGCUUAACCCCGGGCGUGCAGUGGAUACGGGCAGGCUGGAGGCAGGCAGGGGAGAACGGAAUUCCCGGUGUAGCGGUGAAAUGCGCAGAUAUCGGGAGGAACACCGGUGGCGAAGGCGGUUCUCUGGGCCUGUACUGACGCUGAGGAGCGAAAGCGUGGGGAGCGAACAGG